CGUGACUACAAUCCAGCAUUUUAGUACUCAGCAAUCGGUUUAUCAAAGACCCUUGGUGAUGGAGAGUGGAGCAUACUGCAGGGGCGCUCACUUGCUAUACCUGCUUUUCUCUUUUUGUACGGCCUUUGGCAUGCCCAGGGUGGCCAUGCCGAUGGUCAAUCCUUUGGUGCUAGGAGUGUUGCGCUCUCAUUUCCAAUCGCUUACCUUCUCCCUCCCGAUUCUUACCAGCCGACCGCCUCUUUCACCUGCAAAUCGCGACGCGGGAGCUCGUUCACAGGGCCCUCAGCGGCAUCAACAAGUGCCGCAGCCGAGCUCUUGAGCCUCAAGGUGUCAGAACACCGGAACAGUAGGCGGCCUUCUGCGCGCGCUCUGGUAAGAAGUCAUAUCAGCCGUCUCGGUGGCGCUACUCACUUAUCUGCCCGCGUGUGAGCCCGUAAGAGGUUACGGGGAGGCCGAAAGGCGCAGCGGUAGGGAGAGAGCGGCCCCGUCUCCAUUAUUCCACAUGGCGCUC
rnacentral:lncRNA from 1 species